UCACUUCAAUUUUAGUUGUCUUCUCGAAGCGUUAACAUUAAAACUGCACGUGCAUUGAAAGUGACGAAUGUGUGUUGCUGUGUAAGAAUGCUCCUUCCGCUUUCUCUUCGGACGACUCUCCCCCGACCGGCUCCCGAUGAUGAAAAUGACGGGGUCGCUUGUUUCGACCUUAUCCGCGUGACGGAAGACAGGCCUCGCGGAUGACUCCGCACGCGGAGCGGACGGGACGACAUUCUUCGAGCCCUUGCCACUUUCCAACGAGAAGUUUGUCCAGCGGCGACGGCAACACGGGGACAUCGCUUCUCGACUGUGUUCCCCAGGUGCACGAAAGCUCGGGUCAUCGAGAAUGCAACGAAGAUCUUCGCAUUCGAUGGAACUUCCGCGUUUCUUCUGAAUAGACUAAGGGAUGAUCGCAUAUGUUUUGUUCAAGAUUGAUCGGGAACUUGUAUUUUUAUUUUACGACGAAUGAAGAAGGUCGGGUUACUCUGCCAAUAAGCGACGGGGUAGCAACACAAAGGCUCGUCUCGUGAUAAAAGUAUCCCAUAAUUUAACCUUCGCCGUACCAUUCCCGGAUCUUUUCGGAUCCAGAACUCGAGGCCUGCCUUGACCGUUUAUUUAUUAGGGUGUUCCUUAAGUUCCUUCCUUUUUUCUGAUGCGAAACGAUUACACAAUAUUUGUUGUUUAAGACUGA